AUACCUUUCUCGGCCUUUUGGCUAAGAUCAAGUGUAGUAUCUGUUCUUAUCAGUUUAAUAUCUGAUACGCGGGUCAAUGAUCCGCACGAUAUUAAAUUAAUUUUUUUAGGGGAAGAGUCCGUUACGGUAGCUUGCUACUGGGAUUCUUGAGUGUCGCCUUUGCUUUGCACUAUCGCAAAGGCCUGGCACACCCCUC